CUGGGGUCGGGGAGCUUCUCGGCGGUGACCUGGGGGUAGCUUUUUCUUAUCCCCGUUAUCAGAGACUCCCCCACCAUGCCCACUGAGCACAUCCCUCAGUGCCACAUCCACACGGUUCUUGAGCACCUCCAGGGACGGUGACUGCACCACCUCCCUGGGCAGCCUGUGCCACUGCAUCACUGCUCUUUCUCAGAAGAAAUUCUUCCUCAUAUCCAACCUGAACCUCCCCUGGUGCAACUUAACUCCCAUCCCAACACUGUUACCUGGGAGCAGAGGCCGACCCCCACCUCACCACAUCUCCUUUCAGGCAGCUAUAAAGAGCGAUCAUGUCGCCCCUGAGCCUCCUCUUCUCCAGACUGAACAAUCCCAGCUCCCUCAGCCGCUCCCCGUAAAAUUCGUGCUUCAGACCCCUCACAGCUUUGCUACCCUUCUCUGAAUGCACUCCAGGGCCUCGAUGUCUUUCUUGCAGCAAGGGCUCAAAACAGCACAGCACUCAGCAGUGCGGAGAACAGAGGGACGAUCACCUCCCUGCUCCUGGUGGCUGCACUAUUUCUGGCAGAAAGCAGUAAGGAGUCAGAAGCCAUUCUUCCUGAUUCUACAUACCAGCAGGGUUCAACUCACUCCAAAUCAAAGUGGAGUUGCUGAGGAGGUACUAAUUAUGAGACUGCUCCAGUCAAAGCACCAGGACUGUGUUGGACAGGAAGGAAAAAUGAAUUCCAGGAUGAGGAAUCUCCACUGACCUUGCCCCUUCCCAGGCUCUACACAAGAACGUCACUGCUGAUUUUGACAACACAUGUGUCAUCUAAGAUGUGAUGAGCAAGUGGUAAAAAAAAAGCUUAAGAAGCACUGAAAUGGUGUGCACUGCUUCCAUAGUGGCUGUAACAGACUGACUGGGUACUGGGCCUUAAAGAACGCCUCACCCUUAGCUGAGAUUUGGUCUGUGUUUCCAGCUGCCUUGUCUUGUGAGAACUCCUUGCAAAUGCAUCAGAUAUCCCGUGACGUGGUUUUUCCCCUGCAUGGAGUAAAAGCAAGGAAGGCUCACCCUUUCUUUGCUGUACCCUCUUUUGUACUGUCUUUUAUUUCACUCUGUGUCUCUCUUCUGACUACUCUGAACAGUUCACAACUUUUCAAGUAAGAACUUCAUACGAAAGCUUUUGUAUUCGUGAGCAUUGUCUGUCUCAUAUUUUUUGUGUUUCUGCAGCUCUUUUUUGUAAGAUGAUGAUACAUCUGGCUAUGGGCAC